AUGCGCACAGGUGCUGCGGCCGGACGGCUCGCUCCCUGUUCAGCGGGCACGAGCGCGACGUCUAGACAGCUCGUUGUUUUUACAACUGCUAGUUGUGGUACGUCUCCUACGCUCGCUGAGCCUCCUCCCUUUCGUGGGAAGCCCCCCUUGGUUCACACGCAGUGUGAAGGCGGUAGGGGCAGAGGAAUACGGGUUAUUCCUGGACGGUCUUCCUCAGCUGUCGGCUCGCCCUCUCUCCAACCGUUAUGCGUGUUGGCAAGAGCGUUGCAUUCUGCCAUCGUGGUUGGACACCACGUUGAGAUGGGGCCAUCCCAUACAGUUCAAGCGUCGUCCCCCACCCUUUAUGGGGUUGGUGGAGACCACGCUACGGGACCCGGCUGCGAGCACGGCUCUGGCAGCAGAGGUGGCACGUCACUUGGUAAAGGGGGCCAUCACUGUCGUUCCCCCCCACGAGUCUCACCUAGGUUUUUAGGUUUUUUUUCUGGGUCUGCUUUUUAUGCGCAGACUCCAGCGGUGGUUUGCUUGCCAACGGUUGGACCCCAGGCGACACAAGCUCAGGGUGCUCCUCGUCCCCCGUUCGGUGUCGCCAGACCUGGAAUAUUGGAAAGGACCCUCCGCCCUUCUCAAGGGUGUUCCACUGGGCAGGGUGGCGUCCUACGUAGUGGUCUUCACGGACGCCUCGUUGACGGGUUGGGGAGGAACGUGCCUCUCUCACUCGGUCGGAGACGAGUGGCGCACGCCCCCUACAGCACACUUAAAUGUGUUGGAGCUCGACGCUGUGAGGAAAGUGCUGUUGCAUUUCUUUCACCUGGUGCGCGGCCGCCACGUUCUGAUCAGGACAGACAGUGUGUCGGCGGCGGCGUACAUCAACAGACAGGGGGGAGUCCGCUCCCCUGCUCUCCACCGAAAGGCGGUCGAGCUCUGGCUUUGGGCUCAUCAGUAUCUCUGAGAGCCCUGAGAGUCAGCAGUCUGAGAGCCCUGCAUAUCGCGGGCGCCCAGAACUUUGGGGCGGACCUCAUGUCUCGAGGCGGUCCCCGCCGAGACGAGUGGCGGUUACAUCCCGACAUUGUCAGACUGAUCUGGCAGAGGUUCGGGACAGCACAGGUGGACCUCUUCGCGUCCCGGGAGAACACGCACUGCAUGUGGUGGUUCUCCCUCAGCCCUCGGGAUCUUCCCCCGUUGGGAGUAGAUGCGUUGGCACACACACCUUGGCCGCGGGCUCUCUUGUAUGCGUUUCCCCCGCUCCAGCAGAUCCUUCCUCUUCUGGAACGGGUCAGACAGGAGAGACUGUCCCUGAUAUUAGUGGCCCCGGAGAACCGUUCAGCUCUGUGGUUUCCAGAGCUGGCCGCGCUCUCGCGGUCGGCGCCUUGGCCAGUACCAUUCAGGCCGGAUGCGCUUUCACAGGCCCACGGGACGGUGCACCACCCGCCCGAUGUCUCGGGACGGCUGUUGGUUUGGCUCCUGAGAGGUUGA
rnacentral:lncRNA from 1 species